CUGCUGCUAAUACCCAAUGUGCCGAGAGGUGAAAGUAAUUCGCCUGAAGAGGAGCUCGCGUCUGAUUAGCUAGUUGGUAGAGUAAGAGCCUACCAAGGCGACGAUCAGUAGCUGGUCUGAGAGGAUGAGCAGCCACACUGGGACUGAGACACGGCCCAGACUCCUACGGGAGGCAGCAGUGGGGAAUUUUCCGCAAUGGGCGAAAGCCUGACGGAGCAAUACCGCGUGAGGGAGGAAGGUUCAAGUAAUUGUAAACCUCUUUUCUCAGGGAAGAAAAAAAUGACGGUACCUGAGGAAAAAGCAUCGGCUAACUCCGUGCCAGCAGCCGCGGUAAUACGGAGGAUGCAAGCGUUAUUCGGAAUUAUUGGGCGUAAAGCGUCCGCAGGUGGUGAGACAAGUCCGCCGUUAAAGAAGGGAGCUUAACUCCCGAGAGGCGGUGGAAACUGUAGCACUAGAGACCGGUAGGGGUAGAGGGAAUUCCCAGUGUAGCGGUGAAAUGCGUAGAGAUUGGGAAGAACACCAGUGGCGAAAGCGCUCUACUGGGCCGGAACUGACACUAAGGGACGAAAGCUAGGGGAGCGAAAGGGAUUAGAUACCCCUGUAGUC
rnacentral:rRNA from 1 species